ACACUACUGGCACUACCAUGGUGCAAGUCAGUAGAGCAUGAGACUCUUAAUCUCAGGGCUGUGGGUUUGAGCCCUGCGUUGUGCA